rnacentral:rRNA from 1 species
UGAAGAAAGUAAAUAAGGGUACACGGGGGAUGCCUAGGCUCUCAGAGGCGAUGAAGGACGUGAUAAGCUGCGAUAAGCUACGGGUAUUGGCAAAUGCGAUUUGAUCCGUAGAUUUCCGAAUGGGGCAACCUAACUAUCUGAAGGAUAGUUGUAUAAUACGCGAACGCGCCGAACUGAAACAUCUAAGUAAGCGUAGGAGGAGAAAAUAAUAAUGAUUUCGUAAGUAGUGGCGAGCGAACACGAAAGAGCCCAAACCAUUGUUGUUACGGCAAUAAUGGGGUUGUAGGACCACGAUAUGUGAUUUGUAACGUAAACUGGAAGCAGGUGGGAAACUGCGCGAUAAGGGUGAAAGCCCCGUACAGGUAAGCAAUACAGCGCUAGUGGUAUCCUGAGUAGGGCGGGACCGGAGGAAUCCUGCUUGAAUCUGCCAGCACCAUCUGGUAAGGCUAAAUACUCCUGAGAGACCGAUAGUGAACCAGUACCGUGAGGGAAAGGUGAAAAGAACCCCGAACAGGGGAGUGAAAAGAACCUGAAACCGUGUACUUACAAGCGGUUGGAGCGGACUUGUUCCGUGACAGCGUGCCUUUUGCAUAAUGAGCCUACGAGUUACUCUUUACUGGCAAGGUUAAGUGGUUAAGCCACGCAGCCGCAGCGAAAGCGAGUCUGAA